AGGGAAUCCUGGGCUACGUGGCCGAGAAAGGCGAAUCUGUUAACAUCGCCGAUUGUUAUCAGGUAAGUCCCGUUUUAGUCCGCUACUCUAUUCCAACAGAUUGGAAAAGGGCGGCUACGCCCAAAAUUAGGAUUCGAUACGGCGUCGCUGUUCAGUUAAAGGCGCGGGAGGGCGUUGGUCAAGGACUGCGUCCCGCCGGCCGGGUGGCACCGGGUUGAAAAAAAGGCCGUUCCCAGAAGCGUCGGAGCACAGUAGCGCGUUUGUUGACCAAGAAAACCGAUCGUCCGAUGGAAUUAGCCCGGUGUAAUUAUAUAUAUAUUAAUAGCGACGUCGAUUCGUCUGUCGAUCUUUACUCGGUCGGUGGUGAUGUUAUCGGGUGCGCUCAUCCCGCGGUGGAGGGUGAACGGACCCCUGUACAUCAGGUUCCCCCUUCUGGCCGUCGACGACCAAUGGCUGGGGAUAGUUAUUCCGUCGGCCGUAGACCAAAGCUCAAUCGAAGAACGGGCUAACUUGGGUGGGGUGGCCACCCGGCACGGUACCUAAGCGCCUAUAUACGAUUCCGCUUAUCUGGCGCCAGGGUUGGCGUGGCACUGACCACCACCGAUGGAAGUAUGGCACUUUAGGUUUUUAUCGACCAUUUAGCCAACUUCAGCCUAGCCAAUUAACUUAAUGCAUCUUGUUUUAGAUAGCCGGUGCCAUGUUCCUCCAGUCCGAAAUAUAAUGCCUGGAAUUGCCCGUGGCCCAUCGAUCAUUUUCAACGGUGGAAAUAAUUAUCCAAAGCUAGAUCUGGAUGCAUUUUAAACCGAUCUUGGUUCAUUUCGUUACUAGUUAGGCCCGCCUCAAUUUUGCAUUUAUGGUAAAUUCCAGAUGCUUAAACUAUUAACCAAUAUAUAGCUGAAAACCAAUCUGGAGAUGCUUUAUCGACGUUAGAGAAUCACUCUAAACGGUAAUUAUCACUUGUACGAUAAGUUCUGCCCACCGCGGGAUUAGCCGAAGUUAAAACUAUCCAAGAUCUACCUUGGAAAAUUGGAUGGCAGACGGGGUCGAAACGCUUAACAGGUACCAUUUAUGUAAAAUAAAAGCGCCGGAAAAUUCAUUUUCCCUUAAAGUUAAUAAAUAGAUUUUGUCCGUUUUAAUAAGAUUAAAUAAAAUAUAUGGAGUUUAUUAACGGAAGGUGAGGCCACCAUUAAACGAUAAGGGACCAAGAGGUGGCUGUUGUCCUACUCUCUCCACCCCAAUCGCUUCCAGUUUUAUAUUGUACCAGUAAAGUAACCUAUUUCGUCUACCGCACCCGAGCCAGCACCGCCGGUAAUUACAAAAGAAUCGUCUGUUAAUACAGGACUCCAGAUUCGACCGCACCGUCGACAGAAAGACGGGCUACACUACCAGGAG
rnacentral:lncRNA from 1 species